GGAUGCUGCAUUUUUCUGCUUCUGAGUUCUGAUGCAAUGACAAUUGAACUGAACUUAUCAUGAUGAUUUCUAGUGGCAAAUCACAUUGCAAGUGGUUUCAAUCGGUCUCCAUUUGACACUAUUUCUUGGACUGAGUACACUGCAACUAGCAGAAAUCUUCAAAGUAACAGCCAGACUAUGGAAAUGAUGUUAGACAAAAAGCAAAUUUGAGUGAUUGUCUCAUUCGAGUUCAAAAUGGGUUGUAAAGCAGUGGAGACAACUUGCAACAUCAGCAGCGCAUUUGGCCCAGAAACUGCUACUGAACGUGCAGUGCGGUGCUGGUUCAAGAAGUUUUGCAAAGGAGAUGAGCCGUGAAGACGAGGAGCAUCGUGCUGGCCACUGGAGGUUGACAACGACCACUUGGGAGCCAUCAUCAAAGCUGAUUCUCUUACAACUACACAAGAAGUUGCUGAAGAACUCAAUGUGGACCGUUCUACGGUGGUUCGGCAUUUGAAGCAAAUUGGAAAGGUGAAAAAGCUCAGUAAGUGGGCACCUCAUGAGCUGAGCGAGAAUAAAAAAAAA